AGAGGCAUAGAAGAGAAAACGAAAUAAGACCAAAAGAAAGAUUAAAAAAAACUCAGGUAAAUAGACCGUCGAGAGGGAGUCGGGGUUUCUUUUCUGUCGAACUACGAAGGCAGUUGUAGUGCGCGCCGCUGUGAUCAUUUAAAACUUUGUUAAAAGGAUAAAACUUAAGAAAACUUGCAUGCAUAUGAAGUGAAUUAGUGCUAAACAAAAAAACAGAUGCUAAAAAGUUCCUGUGAGAGACUUAAAAGCUAAUAGUACGUGAAAAAGAUAAUAGCAUCUCUUUAGAAGCCAGCUCACCUUCAAUAGGUGUUAAUUUGUAUAGAAGAAAAGGCCCGAUUCUGCUUCCGGGCCUUUUCUUUUCUUUUUGUGCCCACGGGUGUGACCCCGGAGGACAUUCUAUUCCGCAGUGCCAUCCAGAAACUAGUUCGCGAUCCCAAAACUGGAAGAAACUAGUUGGCGUGGCUUGUGUCAGUUUUCGGUGAGGCAAAGUACAUCAGGGAACGGAAUCAAUCACCGUCCGAGCCGCCAUCGCGCCCCCUGGGAACGCUAUCCUGUGCAAGUCGCCAUUGCGCUUGGCUGGUCACCGGCAAUCAUCUUCCGACCGACAUCGAUUGGCCGCAGCCAACUGAAACCGCCAUCUCGCUUGCCUGGUCGCCGGCAAGCAUCUUCCAGCCGACAUCGAUUGGCCGCAGCCACCUGAAACCGCCAUCUCGCAUGCCUGGUCGCCAGCGAUCAUCUUUCGACUGACAUCGAUUGGCCACAGCCAUCAGAAACCGCCAUCUUGCCUGCCUGGUCGCCGGAAAUCAGCUUUCGACCGACGACGAAUAACUCUCGACCUUCAGCAAUCGCCAUCGCUCCAUUUGGGCCACAGGCCUACAGAACGAGUGGCGAAUAGCCCCCCCCCCUCCAGCACGCGAAGGGGAAGUGGACCCGGGUAUCCAACUGUAAACCGUCUGGCCAUCUCUAGAACCCGCCGCCGGUGCUCACCACGUCGCACACUCUCCACCGCCCAGCCAUCUACGAACUUCCAAGACGAUCCGAAGCAAUCAGGCUCACGAAAUCCUCGCAUACCGCUGGAGGUCAUCCAUCGCCAUCGACCCAAUGCUAGCCGACGAGACCAUCGCUGCCUGACAACCCCCGUAAAAGCGCAAGUACACCAUUUCUCUCUCUCCAUAUAAUAUGCCCAAGGGGCGAAUAAAAUCAUAAUGUUAAGACAAAGUAUUGAGUCAGGUCAUUUAUGAGCAGCACUCCCUCAUUGCAUAUGCAUGGUAUUGUUCCGUUCCGUACCUGAAUGGUAUUCAAGCCUUGGUCUUGGUAGUUCACCUGGAUAAGACUCCGUUACCUCGAUU